rnacentral:lncRNA from 1 species
AAAGCAAGAGUCCCUUAUUCACAGAUCCUUCUCCUACAGCUUUAAUAUUUGAUGCACAGAGGGACUUUCAUUUCCACAAGUGUUGCAGCAGGGACCAGAUGAUGGAAGUCGUGUGAUUCUUGUGACACUCUCCCUAUGAGGGCUUACAAUGAAGAGGGUACCAACUGGAAAAAGAUGUGCUUCUAGAAAGUGAUUUAAAUUUGUAUGAAGCCAGAUAAUUCAAGCAGUUUUCUCUUUGUAUAAUAUUUUUUUUUACAGUAAAAGAGAUUUUUUCAAUGAAAA